UACAGAGGGGGCAAGCGUUGUUCGGAAUUACUGGACGUAAAGGGCGCGUAGGCGGCCUGCUAAGUCGAACGUGAAAUCCCUGGGCUCAACCCAGGAACUGCGUCCGAUACUGGUUGGCUUGAAUCCGGGAGAGGGAUGUGGAAUUCCAGGUGUAGCGGUGAAAUGCGUAGAUAUCUGGAGGAACACCGGUGGCGAAGGCGACAUCCUGGACCGGUAUUGACGCUGAGGCGCGAAAGCCAGGGGAGCAAACGGG
rnacentral:rRNA from 1 species